UACGGAGGGUGCAAGCGUUGUUCGGAAUUAUUGGGCGUAAAGGGCGCGUAGGCGGUAAUGUAAGUCAGAUGUGAAAUACUCCGGCUCAACCAGAGAACAGCAUCUGAAACUGCAUAACUAGAGUACAGAAGAGGGAAACGGAAUUCCCGGUGUAGAGGUGAAAUUCGUAGAUAUCGGGAGGAACACCAGUGGCGAAGGCGGUUUCCUGGUCUGAUACUGACGCUGAGGCGCGAAAGCGUGGGGAGCAAACAGG
rnacentral:rRNA from 2 species